UGGGGAAUAUUGCACAAUGGCGGGAACUCUGAUGCAGCGACGCCGCGUGAACGAAGAAGGCUUUCGAGUCGUAAAGUUCUUUUAUAUGGGAAGAUAAUGACGGUACCAUAAGAAAAAGCCCCGGCUAACUACGUGCCAGCAGCCGCGGUAAUACGUAGGGGGCUAGCGUUGUCCGGAAUCACUGGGCGUAAAGGGUUCGCAGGCGGAAAUGCAAGUCAGGUGUAAAAGGCAGUAGCUUAACUACUGUAAGCAUUUGAAACUGCAUAUCUUGAGAAGAGUAGAGGUAAGUGGAAUUUUUAGUGUAGCGGUGAACUGCGUAGAUAUUAAAAAGAAUACCGGUGGCGAAGGCGACUUACUGGGCUCAUUCUGACGCUGAGGAACGAAAGCGUGGGUAGCAAACAGG
rnacentral:rRNA from 1 species